rnacentral:rRNA from 1 species
GGGGUUCGGAACUUCACUCCCAACCCCUG